rnacentral:rRNA from 1 species
AUUGAACGCUGGCGGCAUGCCUUACACAUGCAAGUCGAACGGUAACGGGCCUUCGGGUGCCGACGAGUGGCGAACGGGUGAGUAAUGCAUCGGAACGUACCUUUCAGUGGGGGAUAACGUAGCGAAAGUUACGCUAAUACCGCAUAUUCUGUGCGCAGGAAAGCAGGGGAUCGCAAGACCUUGCGCUGAUUGAGCGGCCGAUGUCAGAUUAGCUAGUUGGCGAGGUAAAGGCUCACCAAGGCGACGAUCUGUAGCGGGUCUGAGAGGAUGAUCCGCCACACUGGAACUGAGACACGGUCCAGACUCCUACGGGAGGCAGCAGUGGGGAAUUUUGGACAAUGGGGGCAACCCUGAUCCAGCCAUGCCGCGUGAGUGAAGAAGGCCUUCGGGUUGUAAAGCUCUUUUGGCCGGGAAGAAAUCGCACGGGCUAAUACCCUGUGUGGAUGACGGUACCGGAAUAAGAAGCACCGGCUAACUACGUGCCAGCCGCCGCUGUAACAC